GACGAACGUUGGCGGCGUGCUUAACACAUGCAAGUGGAGCGACGAACCGGGGCUUGCCCCGGGGCAGAGCCGCGAACGGGUGAGUAACACGUGGGUAACCCACCCCGGUGACCGGGACAACCCGAGGAAACUCGGGCUAAUACCGGAUGUGCUCCUUGACCAUGAGGUCAAGGCGUAAAGCUAGCUUCGGCCUUCGCAUCGGGACGGGCCCGCGGCCCAUUAGCUUGUUGGUGGGGUAAAGGCCUACCAAGGCGACGAUGGGUAGCUGGUCUGAGAGGACGAUCAGCCACACUGGGACUGAGACACGGCCCAGACUCCUACGGGAGGCAGCAGUGGGGAAUCUUGCGCAAUGCGCGAAAGCGUGACGCAGCAACGCCGCGUGGGGGAAGAAGGCCUUCGGGUUGUAAACCCCUUUCAGUUGGGACGAAGCUUCGCCGGUGAAUAGCCGGCUGGAGUGACGGUACCUUCACAAGAAGCCCCGGCUAACUACGUGCCAGCAGCCGCCGUAAGAC
rnacentral:rRNA from 1 species